AAGUCGUAACAAGGUUUCCGUAGGUGAACCUGCGGAAGGAUCAUUAACACGUGAUACUCACGUAUUAAUACAACCACCGAGAAUCUGUUAUAUAUGCCCUAUUGUUAGUUGGAAGUAGACAUACUGAGAAAUUGCUAUGGGCCGCCUUAACUGUACGCCCUGACUCACUUGUCGUUCUUAGGUCCGCCCUGGAGCAACUGCUAACAAAUAGAUGAUGAAUUACGGCUGCAGUACGCUGGUAGCAAGGCUUGCACGUCGUGGUGAAACUAUUAACCCCUUUUUUACUAUUAUUUACUGAUUUUGUAUGUUUGUAUGAAUUCCUGGACUGGUUAAACAGUUUGGUUGAGUUUAUAUAGAUGUCGUAUAAUACUAAUACGAAACAACUCUUAGCAACGGAUAUCUUGGUUCUC
rnacentral:misc_RNA from 1 species